AUUUUGGCUAUUUUUCAUAUUUAGUUUGCGUACAGCAAUUAAUAACUUUAAGCUUAUACAUUAACUUUAGUUAUAACUUAAUUAUUAAUGAUUUGAUUUAUAGAUUUUUAAAGCAAUACAAGAUUGAAUUUAGCAGAAGGCUAAAUUUCUGCUCUAGAGACAAAAAAGAAAGACAGCAAAAAUGAUCAAUCAAAAUAAAGAUUAAAGAGACAAAAAAUUGUGUAUAUCUUGGUGUAGAUGAUUUUUCUUCAUUUUGUUAUAAUAAAACAAAAAAUGUUAUUAAACUUUGGGAAUUACCUGUAACUCCAAACUCUUUACAGAAGUUCAAUGUUUGCACUGAGAAAUUGAAUGAAAAAAUUUAUUAAAUGAUAAAGUUGUAUCCUUGAAAGAUAUGCUGGUAUUAUUGACACAAUGGGCAAGCAUUGAAUUGCAACUUGGUGAAAUACAAAACACAUCAAAUUCAGUUAUAAAAAUUAGAGUAACAAAGGUUGUGUAUUUUUGAAGGUCAAUUAUUUGGCACAAUUUGGAGUUAAAGAUAAAGGAGAUAGUAUAUGUUAUUUACUAAGAAUUGUUUUUUAAAAUGGCCUAGCUGUAAAAUUAAACUAUACAGGAAGAGGACAAAAAUUUGGGGUAGGAAAAAUUUUGAUUGCAUAUGUUGCUAUUGAAACUAUGAAGUCAAAUAAGCAUGGCUUAUGCAGACAUGUGAUAGAGAUAGUGGAAGAAAAGAUAAUAAUAGUGGGUACCAAAUAUCAUUAGCUAAACACGAUUCAAGAACAAGUAGCUCAGCCAAUAUCGAAACUACUCUAUAAAUUUUAUAGUGAAUUUUUUUAUUUGAAACUCAAUGUGUCAGUUUUUGGUUUAAGUUUGGUGUUUGCAAUGUGUAUAUUUAACCGAGAAAUUAUGUUAAAUAAACAGAUUUUUAUA